rnacentral:rRNA from 1 species
CCCUUAGAUGUUCUGGGCGGCCCGCGCACUACAAUGGCGCUUUCAGCGAGUUCCUAUGUUGAAUUUUCCUUGGUAUUCUUGGAAGCGGCGUCUUGACUUGGGAUAGAUCCUUGUAAUUGUUGGUUUUGAACGAGGAAUUCCUUGUAAUCGCGGUUGAUCAGCUCGCGUUGAAUACGUCCCUGCCCUUUGUACACACCGCCCGUCGCUCCUACCGAUGAAUCGUCCGGUGAAGUUCACAGAGUGGCGGUUCGCGGAGUUGCUCGCGAAGUGAAAUGGACCUCACGAUUUAGAGGAAGGAGAAGUCGUAACA